rnacentral:lncRNA from 1 species
GUUUGUUCUUGUAAAGAUUAUUGGUGAAACUUGUUACUUAAAAAGAGGGUGUUCCUGGAAGGAUUGUUUUAUAUCUCAAGAGUAAAAAGGUUCUUGGAAGGAUUGUUGGUGAACUUUGCCGCUCGUUGAUCCCUUGGAGUUGGAAGUGAGAAGAGGAGCUGCUGGAGUGCGGUGCUCUGAACUCGAUGGAAAAGUGAAACUAUAGCUGAUUCUUUUUGCCGAGUUGGUUCCAAGGGAAAACACAUGGUCACAGGGCUUGCUCCCUAGAGGUAAGAAAAGGACCUCAAGAAUAAUAUUAGACCAUACAACCAACCUUGCUAUAAAGACUAAUAUUAGACCAUACUAAGGUGACGAUUGUUUUUUUUUUGGGGGGGUAAAAACAGCAUUUCAUAUAGCUUUUACAUGGGUACAGCCUGCCAAGUCAGAAAAAAUAAAAUGAUAUAAAGUAGAAGGAAGCUCAACGGCGCUAGUCCAGAAAAACUCUCCGGCAUGCCGAAUAACAUAAGAGGCAAUCCAAUCUGCCGCUCUGUUUGCCUUCCGAUACACGUGUGCUGCCUGAAAUGAUACCAUCUCCUUGAACAAUCUGCGAAUCU